rnacentral:tRNA from 1 species
GGCCUCGUAGCUCAGCUGGUGGAGCGCGCGCGUACCAAAGCGUGAUCGGCGUCCACGUAUGGGUUCGAAUCCCAUCGAGGCUA